AAACCAGCACCUCAAGUGGUCAGGAGGAUUAUUGGGCCUAAAGCAUCCGUAGCCUGUUCUGUAAGUUUUCGGUUAAAUCCAUUAGCUCAACUAAUGGGCUGCCGAAAAUACUGUAGAACUAGGGAGUGGGAGAGGUAGACGGUAUUCGGUAGGAAGGGGUAAAAUCCUUUGAUCUAUUGAGGACCACCUGUGGCGAAGGCGGUCUACCAGAACACGUUCGACGGUGAGGGAUGAAAGCUGGGGGAGCAAACCGGAUUAGAAACCCUGGUAGUCC
rnacentral:rRNA from 1 species